rnacentral:rRNA from 1 species
AUGGGCACAAAGGGGGUCAGCAUAUCUCACAUCAAGAGCCAUCUUCAGAUGCAUAGGUCAAGCUCUAGCAGCAGCAACAACAACAAUAACAACAACAACAACAACAAUAACCCACCCCACGUGUCAGCGAAUCGUUGCCAAGGUCACUGCAUCGAUGGCAACAACACAAGAACAACGUCUUCAGACAGGAUCAACGCUCCCUCUAACGUCGUGUUUCACCGUGGCCACCACUCGACGUUGCCACCGUGCCAAAUGCCAUCGAUCGAAGAGGUUUUUAGGAGCUGGGAGGAGAGUAAAAAGCGGCUGCCAUGGAACUCCACCAGCAUGCUAAUUACACCAGAAAAGGCGACUGGCUGGUCUCGUCACACCGACGACAAGAUGCGCCAGAAGAAGCAGCAACCAGCAGCGGGGUGUGACCUAACGUUGUCGAUCGGCCGGUGUGGGGAAUCAGAGGCGACAGCGACGCUGACAUCUCGAGCACGACCACUGAGGAGGCCGCUGCGCUGGCAAGGGGUCGAGGUGCCGGUGGCCACCGUCGCCCCCAGGCUGCCGCCGAUCUGA